UCAAUACUCAUCUCUCUUAUUCUCUAUAGCUCUAAUUUCGAUCUGUUAGAAGAUGUCAGGCCGCGGAAAGGGGGGCAAGGGUCUGGGCAAGGGAGGAGCGAAGCGGCACAGGAAAGUUCUCCGGGAUAACAUCCAGGGAAUCACCAAGCCUGCGAUUCGUCGUCUGGCUCGCAGAGGUGGAGUCAAGAGGAUCAGUGGGUUGAUCUACGAGGAAACUCGAGGAGUCUUGAAGAUUUUCUUGGAGAAUGUGAUCCGU
rnacentral:misc_RNA from 1 species